CAAAACCAUCGUCCCACAAAUACAAAGCACUUUAGAUAUACCGACUGUCUCCAUGGUAACUCAAAGCAAAGAGCUGGAGCCCCCUAGUGGACUGGACGGGAAUGUGGUGACCACUGUCAAGGCCUCUGGUGAUGCAGAGCAGGUCAGCAC